rnacentral:rRNA from 1 species
UACGGGGGGGGCAAGCGUUGUUCGGAAUUACUGGGCGUAAAGGGCUCGUAGGUGGCCAACUAAGUCGGACGUGAAAUCCCUCAGCUUAACUGGGGAACUGCGUCCGAUACUGGAUGGCUUGAGUUUGGGAGAGGGAUGCGGAAUUCCAGGUGUAGCGGUGAAAUGCGUAGAUAUCAGGAGGAAUACCGGUGUGUAGACGGCUCGUCUGGACCGCCACUGACGCUGAGACACGAAAGCGUGGGUAGCAAACAGG